CAGGAGCCUAAAGAGAUGUCUUUCUAUGGUCUGUUGGCCAUUUCAGAACUUGGACAGUGAAAUGGUCAAUUAAUUAGAAAGAAACAGCU
rnacentral:snoRNA from 1 species